GGGGGGCGAGCGUUGUUCGGAAUUACUGGGCGUAAAGAGCUCGUAGGCGGCCUGUUUAGUCGGACGUGAAAUCCCUCGGCUCAACCGAGGAACUGCGUCCGAUACUGGUAGGCUUGAAUCCGGGAGAGGGAUGCGGAAUUCCAGGUGUAGCGGUGAAAUGCGUAGAUAUCUGGAGGAACACCGGUGGCGAAGGCGGCAUCCUGGACCGGCAUUGACGCUGAGGAGCGAAAGCCAGGGUAGCAAACGGGAUUAGAUACCCCGGUAGUCCUGGCCCUAAACGAUGAAUGCUUGGUGUGGCGGGUAUCGAUCCCUGCUGUGCCGAAGCUAACGCAUUAAGCAUUCCGCCUGGGGAGUACGGUCGCAAGGCUG
rnacentral:rRNA from 1 species